rnacentral:tRNA from 1 species
UGGGCUGUAGCUCAGUGGCAGAGUGCUUGCCUAGAAUGUAUGAGGCACUGAGUUCAAUCCUUAGCACUACAA